rnacentral:rRNA from 1 species
GACGAACGCUGGCGGCGUGCUUAACACAUGCAAGUCGAACGGAAAGGCCCUGCUUUUGUGGGGUGCUCGAGUGGCGAACGGGUGAGUAACACGUGAGUAACCUGCCCUUGACUUUGGGAUAACUUCAGGAAACUGGGGCUAAUACCGGAUAGGAGCUCCUGCUGCAUGGUGGGGGUUGGAAAGUUUCGGCGGUUGGGGAUGGACGCGCGGCUUAUCAGCGUGUUGGGGGGGUAGUGGCUUACCAAGGCUUUGACGGGUAGCCGGCCUGGGAGGGUGACCGGCCACAUUGGGACUAGGAUACGGCCCAGACUCCUACGGGAGGCAGCAGUGGGGAAUAAUGCACAAUGGGCGGAAGCCUGAUGCAGCAACGCCGCGUGCGGGAUAACGGCCUUCGGGUUGUAAACCGCUUUCGCCUGUGACGAAGCGUGAGUGGCGGUAAUGGGUAAAGAAGCACCGGCUAACUACGUG